UUUUGAAUCGUAAUCAAAAUCUUAAGAGAUAAAGAUAUCAAAGGAUAUUUUACAGAUGUUAGUUUCGCUUUAUUUCAAUAGAAUAGUUAUUAAAAUUUAG